rnacentral:rRNA from 1 species
UACGUAGGGUGCGAGCGUUGUCCGGAAUUAUUGGGCGUAAAGAGCUUGUAGGCGGUUUGUCGCGUCUGCUGUGAAAUUUCGGGGCUCAACCCCGAACUUGCAGUGGGUACGGGCAGACUAGAGUGUGGUAGGGGAGACUGGAAUUCCUGGUGUAGCGGUGAAAUGCGCAGAUAUCAGGAGGAACACCGAUGGCGAAGGCAGGUCUCUGGGCCACUACUGACGCUGAGAAGCGAAAGCAUGGGGAGCGAACAGGAUUAGAAACCCCCGUAGUCC